AAGUGCAUUUGGGUUCGGCGCGCCGGAACUACAAUUCCCUGAAGCCUCAGCGGCGCGGGCGGUGAGUGGGAGAGAUUCAGGCUCUUCGGGGGAAGUGAGGCGGAGGACAGAGGCAGAAGGUAUUCAUUCCCUUAUGUAAUCUCUUCCCCUUGAGGGCAAGACCUGUGACUUGCGUCUAAUCAACAGAAUAUGGCAAAGGUAGCAAGAUAGACGUGAUUGCAUGUAUGUGAUGCUAUUACAUAAGUUUAUGACUUCUGUCUUGGCUUUGAAGAAGCAAGAUGCAAUGUUGUGCACUGCCUAUGGAAGGGGCCACAUGGCAAAACUUAAUGACCUCCGGCUGUCAUUAAGAAACUGAGGCUCUCAUUAUGACAGUCUGCAAGGAACUGAAUGCUGCUAAUAACCAUGUGAGCUUGGAAGUAAAUCCAUCACCAGUUGAGCCUCAAAUGAGACCUGAGCUUUGACUGACAUCUUGAUUAUAUAGCCUUGCAGAAGACCUGUCUAAGCAAUGCCUGAACUCCUGACCCACAGAAACUGUGAGAUAAUAAAUUAAUGUUGUUUUAAGCUG